UACGGGGGGGGCAAGCGUUGUUCGGAAUUACUGGGCGUAAAGGGCUCGUAGGCGGCCAACUAAGUCAGACGUGAAAUCCCUCGGCUUAACCGGGGAACUGCAUCUGAUACUGGAUGGCUUGAGAUUGGGAGAGGGAUGCGGAAUUCCAGGUGUAGCGGUGAAAUGCGUAGAUAUCUGGAGGAACACCGGUGGCGAAGGCAGCCUCCUGGGCCAGCACUGACGCUCAUGCACGAAAGCGUGGGGAGCAAACAGG
rnacentral:rRNA from 1 species